GACGAACGCUGGCGGCGUGCCUAAUACAUGCAAGUAGAACGCUGAAGGAGGAUCUUGCUUCUCUGGAUGAGUUGCGUACUGGUGAGUAACGCGUAGGUAACCUGCCUGGUAGCGGGGGAUAACUAUUGGAAACGAUAGCUAAUACCGCAUAAGAGUAGAUGUCUCAUGACAUUUGCUUAAAAGGUGCAUUUGCUUCACUACCAGAUGGACCUGCGUUGUAUUAGCUAGUUGGUGAGGUAACGGCUCACCAAGGCAACGAUACAUAGCCGACCUGAGAGGGUGAUCGGCCACACUGGGACUGAGACACGGCCCAUACUCAUACGAAAGGCAGCAGUAGGGAAUCUUCGGAAAAGGACGGAAGGCUGAACGAGCAACGCAGCGUGAGUGAAGAAGGUAUUAGGAUCGUAAAGCUCUGUUGUAAGAGAAGAACGAGUGUGAGAGUGGAAAGUUCACACUGUGACGGUAUCUUACCAGAAAGGGACGGCUAACUACGAG
rnacentral:rRNA from 1 species